GGUGAGGUGGCCGAGUUGGUUAUGGCGCCAGGUUAAGGUUUAUCUUAACAACAAUUCCUGGUGGGGCAACCCGCGCGAGUUCGAGUCUCGUCCUCAUCA
rnacentral:tRNA from 1 species